rnacentral:rRNA from 1 species
GAUGAACGCUGGCGGCGUGCCUAAUACAUGCAAGUCGAGCGAACGGACGAGAAGCUUGCUUCUCUGAUGUUAGCGGCGGACGGGUGAGUAACACGUGGAUAACCUACCUAUAAGACUGGGAUAACUUCGGGAAACCGUAGCUAAUACCGGAUAAUAUUUUGAACCGCAUGGUUCAAAAGUGAAAGACGGUCUUGCUGUCACUUAUAGAUGGAUCCGCGCUGCAUUAGCUAGUUGGUAAGGUAACGGCUUACCAAGGCAACGAUGCAUAGCCGACCUGAGAGGGUGAUCGGCCACACUGGAACUGAGACACGGUCCAGACUCCUACGGGAGGCAGCAGUAGGGAAUCUUCCGCAAUGGGCGAAAGCCUGACGGAGCAACGCCGCGUGAGUGAUGAAGGUCUUCGGAUCGUAAAACUCUGUUAUUAGGGAAGAACAUAUGUGUAAGUAACUGCGCACAUCUUGACGGUACCUAAUCAGAAAGCCACGGCCAACUACGUG